rnacentral:lncRNA from 1 species
AGAAGAAUCCUUGGUAUCAGAGAGAACGGGGGAUGUGCCCUCUUUACUGUGCUGCCAGAGAAGUCUAGAGUGUGACUAAUGGAAGUCUCACUAGUGGACAGACAGUAUAUGAGCCUCUCACAUUUGGAAAUGAUUCCAAGUGACCUUGGAUGACCAUGAGGCUGCCUUCUCAUUCUUACUAUGAAGAUGGUGCCUGGGUAGGUGUAGAAGGAGUGGAGUCAGAGAUCAAGAGACUCAGAGUGGUAGGACUCUUGAGCAUUCUGAGAAAUUUUUUGCUUCCUACAUGAUCUUCAAAGAAGAUGUUCUCAUUCCAUAGGAAAAGUCAUUAUGGGCUGGUGAGAUGACUCAGCAGGUAAGAGCACUGACUGUUCUUCCGAAGGUCCUGAGUUCAAGCCCCAGAAACCACAUGGUGGCUCACAACCACCCGUAAUGAGAUCUGUCGCUCUUUUCUGGUGUGUCUGAAAACAGCUACAGUGUAUUUAUUUAUAAUAAUAAAUAAAUCUUUUAAAAAGCUAA